AUGAACGCUGGCGGCAGGCUUAACACAUGCAAGUCGAGCGGAUGAAGGUAGCUUGCUACNGGAUUCAGCGGCGGACGGGUGAGUAAUGCUUAGGAAUCUGCNUAUUAGUGGGGGACAACGUUCCGAAAGGAGCGCUAAUACCGCAUACGUCUACGGGAGAAAGCAGGGGACCUUUGGGCCUUGCGCUAAUAGAUGAGCCUAAGUCGGAUUAGCUAGUUGGUAGGGUAAAGGCCUACCAAGGCGACGAUCUGUAGCGGGUCUGAGAGGAUGAUCCGCCACACUGGGACUGAGACACGGCCCAGACUCCUACGGGAGGCAGCAGUGGGGAAUAUUGGACAAUGGGGGGAACCCUGAUCCAGCCAUGCCGCGUGUGUGAAGAAGGCCUUUUGGUUGUAAAGCACUUUAAGCGAGGAGGAGGCUACCUAGAUUAAUACUUUAGGAUAGUGGACGUUACUCGCAGAAUAAGCACCGGCUAACUCUGUGCCAGCAGCCGCGGUAAUACAGAGGGUGCGAGCGUUAAUCGGAUUUACUGGGCGUAAAGCGUGCGUAGGCGGCCAAUUAAGUCAAAUGUGAAAUCCCCGAGCUUAACUUGGGAAUUGCAUUCGAUACUGGUUGGCUAGAGUAUGGGAGAGGAUGGUAGAAUUCCAGGUGUAGCGGUGAAAUGCGUAGAGAUCUGGAGGAAUACCGAUGGCGAAGGCAGCCAUCUGGCCUAAUACUGACGCUGAGGUACGAAAGCAUGGGGAGCAAACAGGAUUAGAUACCCUGGUAGUCCAUGCCGUAAACGAUGUCUACUAGCCGUUGGGGCCCUUGAGGCUUUAGUGGCGCAGCUAACGCGAUAAGUAGACCGCCUGGGGAGUACGGUCGCAAGACUAAAACUCAAAUGAAUUGACGGGGGCCCGCACAAGCGGUGGAGCAUGUGGUUUAAUUCGAUGCAACGCGAAGAACCUUACCUGGCCUUGACAUACAGAGAACUUUCCAGAGAUGGAUUGGUGCCUUCGGGAACUCUGAUACAGGUGCUGC
rnacentral:rRNA from 1 species